UACGAAGGGGGCUAGCGUUGCUCGGAAUUACUGGGCGUAAAGCGCACGUAGGCGGCUUUCUAAGUCGGGGGUGAAAUCCCGAGGCUCAACCUCGGAACUGCCUUCGAUACUGAUGAUCUUGAGUCCGGGAGAGGUGAGUGGAACUGCGAGUGUAGAGGUGAAAUUCGUAGAUAUUCGCAAGAACACCAGUGGCGAAGGCGGCUCACUGGCCCGGUACUGACGCUGAGGUGCGAAAGCGUGGGGAGCAAACAGG
rnacentral:rRNA from 1 species